rnacentral:lncRNA from 11 species
CUCUUUCUUGUUGAGGAUUUCUUUUCUUUUUUUGAAGAUAGAGAGAGACCUAAUGAAUAGGGAGAAUCUAACCUCCAGGUGAUAACAUGCUUGUUUUGCUGCUCCUGCUGAGACACAAAUAGCCUGCUGAUGAGAUGGAGACCGCAGGGAUGAUUAAGAAUGUUUAGAUGCAGAAAUGUAGCUGCCUGGCAAAAGCUCAGGGCCAGCAGGCACGGAAAUGCUGUAUUCUGCUCUUCUAUUACAAAGAAUGUGGUAGUGAUGUAUAAGGUAUGAACGAUGUGGCCUGCAGAGUACCAGAAACACUGCCUUUGCUGCUGCUGCUGCUUCGGCUGUUUCUGCUGCUGUUGCUUCUGCUGCUGAGAAGGAGAUGCUCUUACUGAACUGAAACUGCUGAGGAUUUUCUCACUAGGAGGAGGGUACCCAUUUCCCAGUGCUUCUCUCUGAGGAUGUACUGAAUCUGCUGCUGACAGAGUGACUGGUACAGAUGCACAUGUAUGCAUGCAGGGGUUACCCCCAGAAGAAAAUUAAGAACUGUUCAUAUUGAUUUAGGAACAAAAGAAGGGGGGAAAUAUUUCCCCCCUGCAACAAGAGGAUGAGUAGGGGGCUGAUGAAGAAACAACCCUGUCUGAAGGUGGGAAUCGAAGAACAUAUCGACUUCUCUUAUCAUUACAAAAGCAACACACACUUCUUUAAGUCAUUUUCUUUGGGCUA